CCUACGGGCGGCAGCAGUGAGGAAUAUUGGUCAAUGGCCGCAGGGCUGAACCAGCCAAGUCGCGUGAGGGAUGACGGUCCUAUGGAUUGUCAACCUCUUUUGUCAGGGAGCAAAGGGCGCCACGUGUGGCGCUUUGCGAGUACCUGAAGAAAAAGCAUCGGCUAACUCCGUGCCAGCAGCCGCGGUAAUACGGAGGAUGCGAGCGUUACCCGGAUUUAUUGGGUUUAAAGGGUGCGCAGGCGGAAUGGCAAGUCAGCGGUAAAAUUUCGGGGCUCAACCCCGUCGUGCCGUUGAAACUGGUGUUCUUGAGUGAGCGAGAGGUAUGCGGAAUGCGUGGUGUAGCGGUGAAAUGCAUAGAUAUCACGCAGAACUCCGAUUGCGAAGGCAGCAUACCGGCGCUCAACUGACGCUCAUGCACGAAAGCGUGGGUAUCGAACAGGAUUAGAUACCCUGGUAGUC
rnacentral:rRNA from 1 species